rnacentral:miRNA from 1 species
AAACAUCAGCUUACACCGGGGU